UACGUAGGGUGCGAGCGUUGUCCGGAAUUAUUGGGCGUAAAGGGCUCGUAGGCGGUUUGUCGCGUCGGGAGUGAAAACCUUGGGCUUAACUCAGGGCUUGCUUUCGAUACGGGCAGACUAGAGGUAUGCAGGGGAGAACGGAAUUCCUGGUGUAGCGGUGAAAUGCGCAGAUAUCAGGAGGAACACCAGUGGCGAAGGCGGUGCUCUGGGCCGGUACUGACGCUGAGGAGCGAAAGCGUGGGGAGCAAACAGG
rnacentral:rRNA from 1 species